rnacentral:lncRNA from 1 species
GUAGACCAGUCAUUCCAUUCUGGGGUUUCCGCACUUACUGAAUGGGGAGGAAUCUUAUCCCUUGUGGUGUUCUGGGGGAAGAGAGAGGGGUCAACUUCUCCAGUCAUCACGUAGCCCCGGGCGAGCCAUGGAACCCAGCGUGGGCUAUGUGUGGGCCAUGAGUCCUCCCAAGUCCCAUAGGUGGGCAGAAGUAAGCAAGAGAGGGGAGCAAAGAAGAGACUGCUGUGCAAGAGGGGCCUGUGUGCGAGGAAGCUUUCUGUUCUUCCCUAUUGCCAAGGGACUAGUUCUGUGGACUCAAAGUGAUUUGCAGACAUCCUCAACGGUGAGGCUCAUGGUGACCACUCAGUGCUCUUACCAUGCAUCCAUCCAGAUCCCUCUGUCCCACCGGCUGCCCUAGGGGUGAAGAAGAUGGGCUUUUCCAGCGUGGAUUAUCAUCUCGCCCUGUGUCCUCCAGAGCCGAAACAGGAAGCCCCGCUUCUCGGUCUCCACAUCCUGAACGAAGGCUACUUCACAAACAGUUCCGUGUUCGCUCAGUUUGAGACUACAGUGUAUUGCACUGGGUCAACGGUUCAUGUCUUUGUGAGUCCAACCACCAAAAAAAGCAAUGGACAUGCCCAAAGAUAGCAUGUUCCUCACUAUGUUAGUCACUACGCCCCUCUUCUGGAAGGAUUGGACUUGCAAUUAAAUGCCUGUGUGUCUACACUAAGAAUUGAUGCUCCUGAUGUUUCCGUUUUAGUCAGGGUUCCAUUUGGGGCAAGCCCUCUCCCCACUAACUCCCCCUUAUUGUGUUUGGAUCAUUUUGAGCAAAUUUCUGUUCUGGAGACCAUACCUUAUUGCAC